AAGAUUCCCUUACUCCUACGGGAGGCAGCAGUAGGGAAUCUUCCGCAAUGGACGAAAGUCUAACGGAGCACGCCGGCGUGAGUGAUGANNGCUUUCCGGGUCUGUAAAACUCUGUUGUUAGGGAAGAACAAGUGCUAGCUUGAGAUAAAGCUGGCCACCCUGGAAAUACCUAACCAGAAAGCCACGCGCUAACUACGUGCCAGCAGCCGCGGUAAUA
rnacentral:rRNA from 1 species